rnacentral:rRNA from 1 species
CACGUAGGGUGCGAGCGUUGUCCGGAAUUAUUGGGCGUAAAGAGCUCGUAGGCGGUUCAUUGCGUCAAUCGUGAAAUCCUGUGGCUCAACUACAGGCUUGCGGUUGAUACGGGUGGGCUGGAGUACUGCAGGGGAGACUGGAAUUCCUGGUGUAGCGGUGGAAUGCGCAGAUAUCAGGAGGAACACCGGUGGCGAAGGCGGGUCUCUGGGCAGUAACUGACGCUGAGGAGCGAAAGCGUGGGGAGCGAACAGG